AAAAUAUCAAAAAUAGUUUCAUAUUUUAUAUAUAAUUUAGUUUAAUUAAUUAGAUAGAUUUUUGCAUUACGUAGUAUAUUUAGCUUAUAUUAAAGGGUAUUUAGUUAAGGUUCUUUAGUCCAAUUUUAAGGCCCAAAUAUGAAGUCAAAGCCCAUAACCCCAAUAACCUGAUAAACCUAGGGUCUUCUUCUUCAGACUUGGAACAAAAAACCCUAAGGAUCCCCUUAACAAAAAUACACAACCCUGCCGGAACAAGCCAUCCUCUCCAGCUAACACACACGACCAAGACCCUUCUUCAACAGAACAACAGCCGCUGCCCAAAUGCCGGAACCAGUUCCCCUCUUCUUCAAACUUGAGCGCCCAUCUAAUACCUCCAGCCGUUGCUUGUCUUCCUCACACUAGCCGGAGCGUCGUUGCCCUCCUCCAAACGACCGAUCACUCCAUCCUCGAACGAGCACAGCCGCCGGCGACGUUGCUCUAACACUCAGCGUCCGACCUCCUCUUCAAGUCACCUCUACCAUGGCUUUUGAUUCGCAUUUUUCCUUUUAUGAUUUUGUUAUAGUUCACUGGUAUAAUCAAAAAACAACAAAGGGAUUUCAGUUGGCUUAGUUUCAUUUGUGAUUUCAAACUCAAAAUAUAUAAUGAGAAUUUAGUUUACUCUUUUAGUUUUGGUUUCCGAACUAGAGUGGAUAUGAAACGGGUUUUCGAUCGUUGGAGUUACUGUUUGAUGUUUGUGGUCUGCCGUUCGAGUCCAUAUUUGGAAUACAUUUGAGGCCUUGUUUGCGUUUUUCUGGUCUGCGAUUCUAGCAGAAGUUCGCGGUUCUUGCUGUUUUAUUGUCGUUCUUCUAAAAUUUUGCACAUCCGGACGGAGGCUAAUUAAAAAUUCAUGCAAGGUCCAUUCUUACCUUUAAUAUUUUACCUCCUGAUGUUUGUCACAUAGGUGUUUGAAUGGCAUAUGCAUAUAUUUUCCAUGACUAUGUGUGAUAUUUUUUAUCUUACGAUGAAAUUUGACUGAUUAACACGUUUUGACAUUACUGAUUCAAUCAAAUCGUAUUGAAUCUUAAAUUAAAUAAGAGGUUCAAACUUGAAAGCUUGUUUGGAAUUGAUCUCAAUAGUUGGGUUGUUGGGUAAAAUUGAAAGAAAUUUAGGUGCAAGAUAAAUUAUAUUGUUCUUUUAUUCUUGUUUUAUUACUUCUUCGUAUAGGAGCAUGCUUAGGCCGUCAUCACUUGGGUAGGCAAGCCUUAAGUUUUGUUAUUUCGUUUGAGGCGAGGGGUCGUUCCUUUAGUUGAAUAUAUUCGGGAAAUGUCUCGAGAAAUUUGAAUAUAUUUUAUCCGGGGUAUGCCCUGAAGUAUUUGUAUUUGAAGGCUAGCGAUACAUUCUGAGGAAGCAUAGAAUAGUAUUUUUACUUUUUACUUUUGUUUUUAUUUUAUUAGGUGGGGAUAACCUCGAGCCUCUUUUGAUUGUUUAUCUUCGUUUUGUGUUUUUUUACCUCAAUCUGAGUAUUCUUUAAAGCCAACUUGAUCAUGUACGCAACCGUGACUUUCACGGGACCGGGGAAUGCCUAACACCUUUUCCCCGAGUCAAAUGACCCCCCUAUCCAAAUCUCUGGUGCAGACUUAAUUUGGAGUCCAAAGUGUUUUAAAAGGAAAAUUAUUUUUAAAAACGAUGACCUGGCACACCGAAACAAAUGUUAGGUGGCGACUCUGAGUUAUUUCAUUUUGAACACAAUUUUGUCACUUUUUUAAUUAAAAACUCUUUCGAUCUUUACAAAUCCUUUUAUUUAUUUUUAAUAGGGUUAAGUGAAAUUGGUAAAAAAGGGGUAUGACAACUGUUGAUUUGAGAAACAUGACGUCUUUGAAUUAUGGAAAUUUAGGUGUAGAUAAUUCUACUAUUGAUCUCCAUACAUAUUGUGAAGGAAACCACCCAUGGCAAAAUUUUCAAAACGUUCCUGAGAGCGAGUUAUGUGCACAACUCAAUCUUAUUUGUGGAAUGUGUGUGAUGUGUGUGGUGGUAAAAAUGGUCACUUUUAUGGUUGUACUUAUAUUUUUUAUCUUCUCUCAACCCUUUACUAUGAUAGUUCUACCUUUUCUUGUGAAGUUAACAGGAACAAAGAAU
rnacentral:lncRNA from 1 species